UACGUAGGGUGCGAGCGUUAAUCGGAAUUACUGGGCGUAAAGCGUGCGCAGGCGGUUUUGUAAGCCAGAUGUGAAAUCCCCGGGCUUAACCUGGGAAUGGCAUUUGGGACUGCAAGGCUCGAGUGCGGCAGAGGAGACUGGAAUUCCUGGUGUAGCAGUGAAAUGCGUAGAUAUCAGGAGGAACACCGAUGGCGAAGGCAGGUCUCUGGGCUGACACUGACGCUCAUGCACGAAAGCGUGGGGAGCGAAACAA
rnacentral:rRNA from 1 species